UAUAACAACGUUAACCAGUCAGUAUUAAUUAAUGUUAAGUUAUGUAUUAAAUACCUACAGACUAUAGGAAAAAUUACACCUUAUUCACACCGACGCUCUACAUUAUACUUAUAUAGGCAUCUAAAAUAUUUUCUUACAAGAGUCUGAAAUAUUUAAUUACAGCAUUAAUAACCACAAAUUAGAAAGCAAGAGAAUACACCAAAUAUGUACAUGAAACUGACAACAGAGCUAUUUCCAAGACCUUAUUUUCCCUUCUAAACAACUAGACUAGUUACAGCCUGUGUUCUAGAUCUCUACACUAUUUGUGUUUUAAGCAACUAGAGCUAAGCUACCUGAAAUCAUGAAGGUGGAAAAGUUUUUAAUUAAAGGGUUUGAGUAAGAAGAAAUAUGGCUGUGGAAUCUUUUAUAAAAGCAUUUGGUUUCUUCGUGGA